rnacentral:rRNA from 1 species
UACGAAGGGGGCUAGCGUUGCUCGGAAUCACUGGGCGUAAAGCGCACGUAGGCGGAUUGUUAAGUCAGGCGUGAAAUCCCCGAGCUCAACUUGGGAAUUGCGCUUGAAACUACGGUGCUGGAGUAUGGCAGAGGGAGGUGGAAUUCCACGUGUAGCGGUGAAAUGCGUAGAGAUGUGGAGGAACACCGAUGGCAAAGGCAGCCUCCUGGGCCAAUACUGACGCUCAUGCACGAAAGCGUGGGGAGCAAACAGG